rnacentral:SRP_RNA from 1 species
GCUGGUGCAGUGGCACAUGCCUGUAGUUCCAGCUACUCAGGAGGCUGAGGUGGGAGGAUCGCUUGAGCCCAGGAGUUCUAGGCUGUAGUGCCCUAUGCCGACUGGGUGUCCUCACUAAGUUCAGCAUCAAUAUAGUGACCUCCCAGGAGCAGGGGACCACCAGGUGGCCUAAGGAGGGGUGAACCAGCCCAGGUCUGAAAUGGAGCAGGUCAAAACUCCCAUGCCGAUCAGGAAUCAUGCCUGUGAAUAGCCAGUGCACUCUAGCCUGGGCAACAUAGUGAGAUCCCAUCA